UGCCCCGAACCAGGAUCGAACUGGUGACCUUACGAUCUUCAGUCGUACGCUCUCCCAACUGAGCUAUCGAGGCA
ensembl:ncRNA F22B7.15 ncRNA